rnacentral:lncRNA from 1 species
GGGGAGCCCCAGCCUUUGAGGCCCAGGAAGGGUGAGCCAGGCUGAGGCCAGUGUCUCAACCCUUGUCUCUGAAAGGAGCAGUGGAUCCAGGUCAGGAAGCCCACCAGCUUUCCCCCGACCCUACACUGCCACCGAGGCGGGCCCUUCACAUUCCUAGGGUGGAGGGGAUGGAGGCUUCCAGCCGCCACACUUCUAGGAGCUGGGGAGACAGCAGCACAGAGGGCAUUUAUGGAAUACUUGCAUUUAUGGAACGCAUGCAGGCUCUGAGCUCAUUCUUUGUUGUGACUGCUGCCUUUAACCCUCACAAUAACUGGUGCUUUGGGAACUGUUAUUAUUUCCACUUUACCCAUGAGGACGACACGGCCCAGGGAGGAAAGAACUCGUCCAAGUUCCAUGCCAGGGAGAUGCGGAGCUGGGAUUUGAUCAAGCCUCUUUUAGGUCACAGACCCUCUGAGAAUCGGACAAGAGCCGAAGACGCACAAAAGAUGCACAGAGAAACAUCUUCCUAAGAUGUCAGGAGGCCACAGAUUCUCUCUAGCCUCUGCAUAGGAGUCAUGACCACAGUUUAACACUCUCCAUGCUUCAUGAAUUAUCAGAUGAAGAGGGGCCUUGGAUUCCCCUGGACUGAAGAGGAGGGUCACAUCCAAAGCCCAGACCUUCCUUUUUUUAAUCUGAAUAUUUUUGUGUGGGUCAUUUCAGCUUAGUUAGCAGUUUCGAAAGGGAUCUGUACGGGUUUAGUAUUUAAUUUCUUGAAAAAGUAAACUAUUUUUACUUUGUUUUGUUUUAAAAUGUUUAAGUUUUUAAAUUUAUGUAAUUCCAAACUUACAGAAAAGUAACAUGAACAAUACAAGGAACACCUAUAUUCCCUGUUUUGUUAAUUACAAAAUAAUAUUAACAAUGAUGAUGAUGAUUAAAAUAUAUGCCCAUUGUAACAUAUCAAAUGAUGCUGAAGUGUGUGAAGAAAAAGUUAAUAGUCUCCCAUAAUAAAAUACAGAAGUAUAAGCAAUACACUUUGGUAAAUCUUCCAACACACUGCCAUAUACCUUCUCUAAGUCUCUCCAAACAUAUGUACAUGUAAAUCAUAUAUAUUUAUACAAAUAUGUUCCUUUUGCCAUAAAAAAUUGUUUUUUUUUUUUUGAGACAGGGUCUUGCUCUGUGGCUCAGGCCAAGUACAGUGGCUCAAUCACAGCUCACUGCAGUCUCAAACUCCUGGGCUCAAGCAAUCCUCUUGCCUCAGCCUCCCAAGUAGCUGGGACAACAGGUAGGCACCACCACAUCUGGCUAAUUUUAAAAUUUUUUGUAGAGACGGGGUCUCACUUUGUUGCCCAGGCUGGUCUCAAACUCCUGGGCUCAAGCAAUCCUCCCAUCUUGGCCUCCCAAAGUUUUGGGAUUACAGGUGUGAGCCACUGGGACUGCCCCACAAUCUUAUUUUAUAUAUACAGAAUAGUCUCUAUGUAUAAGAUUUAUGUCUUCUGUUAAUUGAAGGCCUUAAUACAGUCAUCCAAGGCUGGUUUAAUGACCUCCAACCAUCAACAAGGAAGACGUUUGGAGAAACAUGAGGGAAAAGGAAAACACAGGCAGAGAAUCAAGGGGAUUAUUGGGUGACUUCCAAGGAGUGUGAGUGAACCUUGGGUCCACUCAAUGCACAGCACCUCACAAUAUGCUUCUUUCAUUUAACAUUCUCCCUGGACCUCUCUCUAGGUCGACUCUUGUGAUGCUACCUCAUUCUUGUUAAUCAUUUCAUACUUUUUCAUUACGUGGCUGGGUGACUUGAUUCACCCCUUCUUCCACUGAUAGCAUUCAGGUCAUUUCUGAUUUGUUGCAGUGAUUAUUGCAGACAAUGUCGGACUAAUCAUCCUGAGAUAUAUGUCUUUAAAGACUGGGCUGUGUAGCCCAUUGUACUAGUCUAUUCUCAUGCUGCUAAUAAAGACAUACCUGAGACUGGGUAAUUUAUAAGGGGAAGAGGUUUGAUUGACUCACAGUUCAGCAUGGCUGGGAGGCCUCAGGAAACUUACAAUCAUGGCAGAAAGGGGAGCAAUCAUGUCCUUCUUCACAUGGCAGCAGCAAGGAGACGUGCCAAACAAAACGGGGAAAAGCCCCUUAUAAAAUCAUCAGAUCUCAUGAGAACUCACUCACUAUCACAGGAAGAGCAUGAAGGCAACUGCCCCCGUGAUUAAAUUACCCCCCACCGGCUCCCUCCAAUGACACAUGGGGAUUAUGAGAGCUACAACUCAAUAUGAGAUUUGGGUGGGGACACAGCCAAACCAUAUCACCCGUUUAGUAUCUUUGUGCAAAUUAGCAAAAAAUACCCCUCCCAUAGACACCAGCCUGUAACAAAGUACGCAGCUUGGCAAGUGGCGUGUAGGCCGGAUUCCAGCCCUACAUGCCCCAUCGGUGUGGUGUCCUUCCUUGUGCAGUGAACAACCUGCACAUCCUUAUAUGGUAGUCUCAUCUUCCACACUCUGUUUCUUUCUCCCCCUGUAAGACGGCUCCCUAAACGUUAGACUGCCAGGACGAAGGGUCUGUGAGCAUUUUUUU